GAGGAAGUAAAAGUNNNAACAAGGUUUCCGUAGGUGAACCUGCGGAAGGAUCAUUAUNGAAUAAAACCGAGUUAAAGGUUGUCGNUGGUCNANAUAAUUUUAUAUNNUGGCAUGGUGCACGUNUUUUGCUCUUAAUCUCUUUCUUUCACACCUUGUGCACCUCUNGKAGGUCCUCCAAAAGAGUGAUCUAUGUCUUAAUUCAUUCGCCCACGGCACAUCGCAUGUUCAUAGAAUGUCAUAAAUGGAAAUACAACUUUCAGCAACGGAUCUCUUGGCUCUCGCAUCGAUGAAGAACGCAGCGAAUUGCGAUAAGUAAUGUGAAUUGCAGAUUUUCAGUGAAUCAUCGAAUCUUUGAACGCACCUUGCGCUCCUUGGUAUUCCGAGGAGCAUGCCUGUUUGAGUGUCAUUAAAUCCCCUCAACCAUGUCUUGAUUUUCCAUCGAGAUAUGGCUUGGAUUUGAGAGUUGCUGGCGUUUCGUACGUCAGCUCUCCUGAAAUUUAUUAGCGAUAGCCAAGCAUUGUCUUGACAUGUGCACGGCCUUCCGACGUCAUAAUGAUCGUCAUGGCUGGAAGUGGAUUGGACCUUGCAUGAGUUUCGCUUCCAAUUCUGUUUAUUUUUUUAAUGCCUCNACCUCAAAUCAGGUAGGAUUACCCGCUGAACUUAAGCAUAUCA
rnacentral:rRNA from 1 species